GUGCUUACUUUGGCAGCACAUAUAGUAAAAUUGGAACAUACAGAGAAGAUUAGCAUGGCACCUGCAUAAAGAUGACACACAAAUUUGUGAAAUGCUCCAUAUCCAA